GUCUCGGUGGUGUGGUGGUUAGAGCACGCAUCCCCUGGAUAGGAUGAAACGAGGGUUUGAUUCCCGCCUGAGGCU